ACUCAAAUGAAUUGACGGGGGCCCGCACAAGCGGUGGAGCAUGGGGAUUAAUUCGUCACUAACCGAAGAACCUUACCCAGGCUUGACAUCCGGGGCAAGUCCGUGAAAACGGUACCCCGCGGCCGCAAGGCCGCGCCGCGAGACAGGUGUUGCAUGGCUGUCGUCAGCUCGUGUCGUGAGAUGUUGGGUUAAGUCCCGCAACGAGCGCAACCCUCACCCCAUGUUGCCAGCGUGAAGCCGGGCACUCUUGGGGAACUGCCCGGGUAACCGGGAGGAAGGUGGGGAUGACGUCAAGUCGGCAUGGCCCUUACGCCUGGGGCUUCACCCAUGCUACAAUGGGCGCGACAAAGGGGAGCGAGCCCGCGAGGGGGAGCCAAUCCCAGAAACGCGUUCUCAGUUCGGAUUGCAGGCUGCAACUCGCCUGCAUGAAGGCGGAAUCGCUAGUAACCGCCGGUCAGCUAAACGGCGGUGAAUACGUUCCCGGGCCUUGCACACACCGCCCGU
rnacentral:rRNA from 1 species